rnacentral:rRNA from 1 species
AGAUUGAACGCUGGCGGCAGGCCUAACACAUGCAAGUCGAGCGGCAGCACGGGUACUUGUACCUGGUGGCGAGCGGCGGACGGGUGAGUAAUGCCUAGGAAUCUGCCUGGUAGUGGGGGAUAACGCUCGGAAACGGACGCUAAUACCGCAUACGUCCUACGGGAGAAAGCAGGGGACCUUCGGGCCUUGCGCUAUCAGAUGAGCCUAGGUCGGAUUAGCUAGUUGGUGAGGUAAUGGCUC